GAUGAAGAACGUAGCGAAAUGCGAUACGUAAUGUGAAUUGCAGAAUUCAGUGAAUCAUCGAGUCUUUGAACGCACAUUGCGCCCCUUGGUAUCCCGAGGGGCAUGCCUGUUCGAGCGUCAUUUCACCACUCAAGCCUGGCUUGGUGUUGGGCGACGUCCUCUUUGGGGACGCGCCUCGAAACGCUCGGCGGCGUGGCACCGGCUUUAAGCGUAGCAGAAUCUUUCGCUUUGGAAGUCGGGGCCCCGUCUGCCGGAAGACCUGCUCGCAAGGUUGACCUCGGAUCAGGCAGGGAUACCCGCUGAACUUAAGAAUAUCAAUAAGCGGAGGA
rnacentral:misc_RNA from 1 species